GUUGACCAUCACCAACCAUUAACAUUUUUUAACAAUGGAUAAAAAGAAAGGCAAAAAAGACGCAGUCCACAGCCAAAGUAGCGGUGGUUCAAACCACAGUGGUGGCAGCCAUCAAGGCGGUGGGUCUCACGGCAGUAGCUCUUCGCACGGAGGUCAUGACCCUGUGCCACCAUCUCCUUCUUCUAGCCACGGAGGCGGAGGAGGCCAUCACGGUCAUAUUACACCACCGCCAUCACCUAAAUAGUAAAAUUGUUUCGAUUUGAUGUAUUCAACUUUAAAGAAGCUAUAAUAUCCUGUACUACCAAGUCUUUGCAACUUAUGUUAAUCUUUUACAAUGUAAAUUAAAAUUCAGUGUUCCAUAUAAAUUCUGUAAAUGCUCCGAAAAAAUAUUAUAAAUGUAUGUCUUGUGAUUCUAGUCUCAACAUUAUGCCUGAAAUAAAUGACACUUUUAAGUCUGA